GACGAACGCUGGCGGCGUGCUUAACACAUGCAAGUCGAACGGAAAGGCCCUGCUUUUGUGGGGUGCUCGAGUGGCGAACGGGUGAGUAACACGUGAGUAACCUGCCCUUGACUUUGGGAUAACUUCAGGAAACUGGGGCUAAUACCGGAUAGGAGCUCCUGCUGCAUGGUGGGGGUUGGAAAGUUUCGGCGGUUGGGGAUGGACUCGCGGCUUAUCAGCUUGUUGGUGGGGUAGUGGCUUACCAAGGCAUUGACGGGUAGCCGGCCUGAGAGGGUGACCGGCAACAUUGGGACAGAGAUACGGCACAGACUACUAAAGGAGGCAGCAGUGGGGAAUAUUGCACAAUGGGCGGAAGCCUGAUGCAGCAACGCAGCGUGAGGGAUGACGGCCUUCGAGUUGUAAACCGCUUUCGCCAGUGACGAAGCGUGAGUGACGGUAAUGGGUAAAGAAGAAACGGCUAACUAAGUG
rnacentral:rRNA from 1 species